rnacentral:rRNA from 1 species
UACGUAGGCAGCGAGCGUUGUUCGGAAUUACUGGGCGUAAAGAGUGUGUAGGCGGUGCUCUAAGUUCGGUGUGAAAUCCCUCGGCUCAACCGGGGAACUGCGUCUGAUACUGGAUGGCUUGAGUGUGGGAGAGGGAUGCGGAAUUCCAGGUGUAGCGGUGAAAUGCGUAGAUAUCUGGAGGAACACCGGUGGCGAAGGCGGCAUCCUGGACCACGACUGACGCUGAGGAGCGAAAGCCAGGGGAGCAAACGGG